rnacentral:lncRNA from 1 species
AUGACGAAUGAGCUGGAGAAGGGGGGGGGAGCGGGGAGAGCAGGUGGCGAUCGACCCGGAGGGAGCUGCCGGAGAAGCGGGAGCUGCGGGGAAUUAAACGGGAGGAGCCUCGAGCUGGGAACCUUCCCCGCCGUGUGCCCGGAAGGAUUUCCUUUGGGAUUUCGUUACCGUUCAAGUAAUGUCACCCCCCCCGCGACCAGAGCGAGUCCCUGGGGGCUGGGGCAUUGCCCGAAUGCUUGGGGCGAGGUGGGUUUUGCCCUCAAGUCCCGUCCUCGAGGAGCGGGACGGAGCUGUAGCGUGCACGGCCCUGCUCCUAAUUAUUCUGCGUCUGUUGUUUCUGGGAGCAGCAUCUUAGAUAAUGACAAUACUAAAAAGCAAAGCCUCUCUUUGUGCAGUCAUUUCUGUGAAGCCCUGGACUUGAGCUGCUCUCGUCGGAGAUUUUGGUGGCACUGGUGGCACCACACCGGCCGCGUCUGCUGCAGCGCGUCUCCUGGGCUCCGGCUCUUCCCAGAGGAACGACGCUCACGUGCUCGGUUUUGUUCGCCCUUCCAAAAGGCUCUUGCUGCAGGGAGGCUUCCCCUGCCUUUUGUCACCGCUCCUCCGUGCUCCGCUGCCCUCGUCUUGAGUCGCUUUGCCGUGCGUUUUCACUUCUUUCCCCCCAAAGCAGCAGCGAAUUGGCAGAAGCGGGCGCCGGCUGGAGAGGUCGGUGCCGCCCAGGACUCCCAGGGAGCGGGAAUUUCUCGGAGCUUUGUCGUUUAUUCCGCCGUGAUUUUGGACGGAGCAGUUUUUCUUGAUGUUUUAGGGCUGGAUUUCGGGUUCUUUCCCCAGCCUGGCACUCGGGUUUGGUGGGUUUUGGUGCAAAUUCUGCCCGAAGGCAACUGGGAGUUGCUGCAGGCAGCUUCAGGGGCCUUCGUUUGGGGGUUGCCAGCUUUUGGCCCCGGUUUAUCUGCACGUAGGAAAAAGAUUCUUUGCAAAAACGUUGUGCUUGGCCCGUACUGCAGAAUCAGGAGGUAG